GAUGAACGCUGGCGGCGUGCCUAACACAUGCAAGUCGAACGGUCAAACGCGUAACUUUCUUGUCUGUCUGUAGCGGCGGAGGGGUGAGUAAUACGUCGAGAACAUCCCUCUAAGUCUGGGGUAACUUCCGGAAAACGGUGCUGAUAACAGGUGAUAUUUUGAAUCGCAUGGUUGAAGAGUCACGGACGGUUUUUCUUUCGCUUAUGGAUGGAUCCGCGCCGCAUUAGCUAGUUGGUAAGGUAACGGCUUACCAAGGCAACGAUGCGUAGCCGACCUGAGAGGAUGAUCGGCGACACUGGAACUGAGGCACGGUCCAGACUCCUACGGGAGGCAGCAGUAGGGAAUCUUGCGCAAUGGGCGGAAGACUGAUGGAGCAGCGCCGCGUGAGUGAUGAAGGACUUCGGAUCGUAGAGAACUUUUAUCGGGGAAGAAGAAAGCUGGAAGUAUCUGUGCGCGGCUUGACGGUACCUGAACAGGAAGCGCCGGCUAACUACGUG
rnacentral:rRNA from 1 species